CAAUGGGCAGCGGCGGACGGGUGAGUAACACGUGGGAAUGUACCUUUCGGUGCGGAACAACUCAGGGAAACUUGAGCUAAUGCCGCAUACGCCCUUACGGGGAAAGAUUUAUCGCCGAAAGAUCAGCCCGCGUUGGAUUAGCUAGUUGGUGAGGUAAUGGCCCACCAAGGCGACGAUCCAUAGCUGGUUUGAGAGAACGACCAGCCUCACUGGGACUGAGACACGGCCCAGACUCCUACGGGAGGCAGCAGUUGGGAAUCUUGGACAAUGGGGGAAACCCUGAUCCAGCCAUGCCGCGUGAGUGAUGAAGGCCUUCGGGUUGUAAAACUCUUUCGACGGGGACGAUAAUGACGGUACCCGUAGAAGAAGCUCCGGCUAACUUCGUGCCAGCAGCCGCGGUAAUACGAAGGGGGCUAGCGUUGUUCGGAAUUACUGGGCGUAAAGCGUGCGCAGGCGGCUAUCCAAGUCAGUGGUGAAAGCCCGGAGCUCAACUCCGGAAUUGCCAUUGAAACUGUUUAGCUUGAGUACGAGAGAGGUGAGUGGAAUACCCAGUGUAGAGGUGAAAUUCGUAGAUAUUGGGUAGAACACCGGUGGCGAAGGCGGCUCACUGGCUCGUAACUGACGCUCAGGCACGACAGCGUGGGGAUCAAACAGGAUUAGAUACCCUGGUAGUCCACGCCGUAAACGAUGAACGCUAGCCGUUGGAUAGCUUGCUAUUCAGUGGCGCAGCUAACGCAUUAAGCGUUCCGCCUGGGGAGUACGGCCGCAAGGUUGAGACUCAGAGGAAUUGACGGGGGCCCGCACAAGCGGUGGAGCAUGUGGUUUAAUUCGACGCAACGCGCAGAACCUUACCAGGGUUUGACAUCCUGUGCUCGCCGGUGAAAGCCGGUUUUCCCGCAAGGGACGCAGAGACAGGUGCUGCAUGGCUGUCGUCAGCUCGUGUCGUGAGAUGUUGGGUUAAGUCCCGCAACGAGCGCAACCCUCGCCUUUAGUUGCCAUCAUUCAGUUGGGCACUCUAGAGGGACCGCCGGCGACAAGCCGGAGGAAGGUGGGGAUGACGUCAAGUCCCCAUGGCCCUUACACCCUGGGCUACACACGUGCUACAAUGGCGGUGACAGUGGGCACGAGCUCGCGAGAGUCAGCUAAUCCCAAAAAACCGUCCCAGUUCAGAUUGCACUCUGCAACU
rnacentral:rRNA from 1 species